rnacentral:rRNA from 1 species
UGCAAGUCGAACGCACAGCGAAAGGUGCUUGCACCUUUCAGUGAGUGGCGAACGGGUGAGUAACACGUGGACAACCUGCCUCAAGGCUGGGGAUAACAUUUGGAAACAGAUGCUAAUACCGAAUAAAACUUAGUGUCGCAUGACAAAAAGUUAAAAGGCGCUUCGGCGUCACCUAGAGAUGGAUCCGCGGUGCAUUAGUUAGUUGGUGGGGUAAAGGCCUACCAAGACAAUGAUGCAUAGCCGAGUUGAGAGACUGAUCGGCCACAUUGGGACUGAGACACGGCCCAAACUCCUACGGGAGGCUGCAGUAGGGAAUCUUCCACAAUGGGCGAAAGCCUGAUGGAGCAACGCCGCGUGUGUGAUGAAGGCUUUCGGGUCGUAAAGCACUGUUGUAUGGGAAGAACAGCUAGAAUAGGAAAUGAUUUUAGUUUGACGGUACCAUACCAGAAAGGGACGGCUAAAUACGUGCCAGCAGCCGCGGUAAUACGUAUGUCCCGAGCGUUAUCCGGAUUUAUUGGGCGUAAAGCGAGCGCAGACGGUUUAUUAAGUCUGAUGUGAAAGCCCGGAGCUCAACUCCGGAAUGGCAUUGGAAACUGGUUAACUUGAGUGCAGUAGAGGUAAGUGGAACUCCAUGUGUAGCGGUGGAAUGCGUAGAUAUAUGGAAGAACACCAGUGGCGAAGGCGGCUUACUGGACUGCAACUGACGUUGAGGCUCGAAAGUGUGGGUAGCAAACAGGAUUAGAUACCCUGGUAGUCCACACCGUAAACGAUGAACACUAGGUGUUAGGAGGUUUCCGCCUCUUAGUGCCGAAGCUAACGCAUUAAGUGUUCCGCCUGGGGAGUACGACCGCAAGGUUGAAACUCAAAGGAAUUGACGGGGACCCGCACAAGCGGUGGAGCAUGUGGUUUAAUUCGAAGCAACGCGAAGAACCUUACCAGGUCUUGACAUCCUUUGAAGCUUUUAGAGAUAGAAGUGUUCUCUUCGGAGACAAAGUGACAGGUGGUGCAUGGUCGUCGUCAGCUCGUGUCGUGAGAUGUUGGGUUAAGUCCCGCAACGAGCGCAACC